rnacentral:pre_miRNA from 1 species
CCCAGUGUUCAGACUACCUGUUCAGGAGGCUGGGACAUGUACAGUAGUCUGCACAUUGGUUA